rnacentral:rRNA from 1 species
UUAUUUGAAGUUGAAAGAAAAUCAUAUUGAUUUAAAAAAUAAAUAAAUAAAAGGGAACAGGCGACACAUCUGGAAAAGAGAGUCAAAGAGUGCUUGAAAUUGUCGGAAGGGAAGCGGAUGGGGGCCGGCGAUGCGCCUCGGUGGGAUGCGGAAUGGUGAGAGCUAGUCUGCCGAUCAACUCGGGGCACAGAACGAUGUGAAUUGCAACGGCAGCCUAAGCCCGGGCUGUAAAUAUGCCCACGGAGACGUCAUAGCCGUGAUCGUGGUGGGCAACGCGCGCCAUCACGGCGUGCUUUGGCACCUGCGCGCUCUUGGCGUCGGCUUGUGGGCUCCCCAUUCGACUCGUCUUGAGACAUGUACCAAAGAGUCUAAUAUGUGUGCAAGUCAACGGACUAGUAAACCAGUAAGGCGCAAGGAAGCUGAGUGGCGGGAUCCCUAUGUGCACCGCUAACCAACCUUAUCGAGUGAGAGCAUGCUUGUCGGGACCCGAAAGAUGGUGAACUAUGCCUGAGCGGGGCAAAGCCAGAGGAAACUUUGGUGGAGGCCCGCAACGAUACUGACGUGCAAAUCGUUCAUCUAACUUGGGUAUAGGGGCAAAAGACUAAUCGAACUGUCUAGUAGCUAGUUCCCUCUGAAGUUUCCCUCAGGAUAGCUGAAGCCCGCAGAUGAGUUCUAUAAGGUAAAGCCAAUUAUUAGAGGCAUUAGGGGCCCAACGCCCUCGACUUAUUCUCAAACUUUAAAUAGGUAGGACGGUGUGGCUGCUCCGUUGAGCUGCGCCACAGAAUCGAGAGCUCUAAGUGGGCCAUUUUUGGUAAGCAGGACUGCCGAUGUGGGAUGAACUGGAAGCCAGGUGACGGUGCCCAACUGCGUGCUAACCUAGAACCCACAAAGGGUGUUGGUCGAUUAAGACACCAGGACUGUGGUCAUGGAAGUCAAAAUCCGCUAACGAGUGUGUAACAACUCACCUGCAAAAUCAGCUAGCCCCGAAAAUGGAUGGCACUAAAGCACAUGACCUAUACCCGAUCGUCGGGGCAAGAGCUAGGCCCCAAUGAGUAGGAGGGCACAGCGGUCGCUGUAAAACCAUGGGCUCAAGCCUGGGCGAUGUGGCUGUCGGUGCAGAUCUUGGUCAUAGUAGUAAAUAUUCAAAUGAGAACUUCGAAGGCUGAAGAGGGGAAAGGUUUCAUGUGAACAACACUUGCGCAUGGGUUAGUCGAUCCUAAGAAAUAGGGGAAGCCUGUCUGACAGCGCGUAUUUCAAAAGGGAAUCGGGUUAAAAUUCCUGAAUUGAGACGUGGCGGCUGACGACAACGUUAGAGAGUCCAGAGACAUCAGUAGGGCCUCGGGAAGAGUUAUCAUUUCUAUUUAAAAGCCUGCCCACUUUGGAAACGGCUCAGCCGGAGGUAGGGUCCAAUAGCUGAAAUAGCACCGCACAUCGCGUGGUGUCCAGUGCACCCCCAACGGCCCUUGAAAAUCUGGAGGACCGAGUACCUCCCACGUCCGAUCAUACUCAUAACAGCAUCAAGUCUCUAAGGUGAACAGCCUCUAGCCAUGGAACAAUGUAGGCAAAGGAAGUCGACAAAAUGGAUCCGUAACCUCAGGAAAAGGAUUGGCUCUGAAGGUUAGGUACAAGGGUCCCAGUCUCGAACCCGUCUGCUGUUAAUGGACUAUUCGAGCUGCUCUCGUGGCGAGAGCGAGUCUCCGCCUGUUCGCCGAGGGACGGACUGGGAAAAGGUCCCUUCGGGGGCCCUUCCCCGGUCAUUGAACAGUCAACUCAGAACUGGUAUGGACAAGGGGAAUCUGACUAUUUAAUUAAAAUAAAGCAUUGCGAUGGUCCCUGUGGAUGCUCACGCGAUGUGAUUUCUGCCCAGUGCUUUGAAUAUCAAAGUGAAAAAAUUCAACCAAGCGCGGGUAAACGGCGGGAGUAACUAUGACUCUCUUAAGGUAGCCAAAUGCCUUGUCAUCUAAUUAGUGACAUGCAUGAAUGGAUUAACAAGAUUCCCACUGUCCCUGUCUAUGAUCCAGCAAAACCACAGCCAAGGCAACGGGCUUGGCAGAAUCAGCGGGGAAAGAAGACCCUGUUGAGCUUGACUCUAGUCCGACUUUGUGAAAUGACUUGAGAGGUGUAGUAUAAGUAGGAGUCAGAAAUGGUGAAAGUAAAAUACCACUACCUUUAACGUUAUUUUAUUUAUUCCAUGAAUCAGAAGUGGGGCACUGCCCCUCUUUUUGGACCCAAGGCCUGCCUCGGUGGGCCAAUCCAGGUGGAAGACAUUGUUAGGUGGGGAGUUUGGCUGGGGCGGCACAUCUGUUAAAAGAUAACGCAGGCGUCCUAAGAUGAGCUUAACGAGAACAGAAAUCUCGUGUGGAACAAAAAGGUAAAAGCUUGUUUGAUUCUGAUUUUCAGUACGAAUACGAACCAUGAAAGUGUGGCCUAUCGAUCCUUUAGAACUUUGGAAUUUGAAGCCAGAGGUGUCAGAAAAGUUACAUGGAAAGAAGUAGUUGCGUCGCUUGUUCCCUUUUUGAAAAUUAAGUUAAAACUGAAAAUAAGCUGUAAUUUGGAAAAAUAAUUAUUUUUAAAUAUAAUAAAAGCCGACCCGAAAGUAUAUAAGUGUGUCGCCAAUAUUGUUUUAACAAAAUUAAGUACUUGAUACAGAAAAUUAAAAUAGUAUAAGGCGACUCUUUU